rnacentral:rRNA from 1 species
AACGAACGCUGGCGGCGCGCCUAAUACAUGCAAGUCGAGCGAGAAGGUGUAGCAAUACACUUGUAAAGCGGCGAACGGGUGAGGAAUACAUGGGUAAUCUACCAUCGAGUGGGGAAUAACCAACCGAAAGGUUGGCUAAUACCGCGUACGCCUCCGAGUCUUCGGGUUCGGAGGGAAAGCUGCACUGUGAGUGUAGCGCUCUUUGAUGAGCUCAUGUCCUAUCAGCUUGUUGGUAGGGUAACGGCCUACCAAGGCUUUGACGGGUAGCUGGUCUGAGAGGACGAUCAGCCACACUGGCACUGCGACACGGGCCAGACUCCUACGGGAGGCAGCAGUAAGGAAUAUUGCGCAAUGGGCGAAAGCCUGACGCAGCGACGCCGCUGGGGGAUGAAGGUCUUCGGAUUGUAAACCCCUUUCGGAGGGAAGAUGGAGCGAGCAAUCGUUCGGACGGUACCUCCAGAAGCAGCCACGGCCAACUUCGUGCCAGC